rnacentral:rRNA from 1 species
CAAUGUAAGUGAUGGCGACCGGCGCACGGGUGAGUAACACGUAUCCAACCUGCCGAUAACUCGGGGAUAGCCUUUCGAAAGAAAGAUUAAUACCCGAUGGUAUAAUAAAACCGCAUGGUUUAAUUACUAAAGAAUUUCGGUUAUCGAUGGGGAUGCGUUCCAUUAGGCAGUUGGUGAGGUAACGGCUCACCAAACCUUCGAUGGAUAGGGGUUCUGAGAGGAAGGUCCCCCACAUUGGAACUGAGACACGGUCCAA